GGACUUGUAACCGUCACUUCUGUCUUGAGUAGUUAAAAGAUAGAACAGUCUAGCCAAGUGCCAUGUCUCUUAUUCUUGAUCAGCUAUAACUCUGGAGUUUUUGCAGAUUUUCAAAUAAAACUCAGAGAUUCCUUGUAUGACUCUCUAAAUCUCUCUUUUGUGGUAUUUCUGGAUCCUUACCAAGGUAGUGAUGGUUUAUGCCUUCUCUCAAGAUAUAUGGUAUUUGUGGUAUAAGGCAUAGUGACAUUGCCUUCUCUCUCACCCUACUCUAAUAAGGCUUUAAUAUCUGGAGCUCAUAGGUGGGAGAUAAAGUAUACAUACUUACAAGACAUUUAUUGUAUAGUCAAACCAUUGCUCCAAAGAAACAAAUCAAUAAGCCAAAUCAAGAUGUGCAUGUGUGGUGAAUGAAUGGUGUAUGGUGAUGAUGGUGAUAACAAUGGUGAAAGUCUAAUUCUACUUUUGCUCUUUUGAGGGGAUACAUACCUUCCUUGCUUUUUGAAACUUUAUGAGGAGAAUGAGAUGCUCUAUCUUUCAUUUUUUUCAUUCCUCUCAGGUGGGUAUCCUGUACCCCUAAUUCUACUGUCGGACACUUGUCCAUUUUUACCUCUCGUCUCACUCUUUUUCUUUUCUUUCGAGGUUCCGGGCACUUGCCCCUUUUUAUUUCCUCGUAUAUUUUUUUCUCUCCCUUUUUUUAGAGCACUCAUCUCAUGAGAUAAUAUAGCAAGUGGUAGUAACAAGAUAACUUGAGCAUUUAUUUCACAAGGAAAAACAGAAAUAUUUUUUGUUAUUCUCUCCCGGAUUAGGAGUAGAAUAUUUUUGGGUGGUUCUGGAGGUGGAAAUGAGUGGAUAUAUGUGGAUGGUACUUCUGGAGUAGAAGUAGCAUAUAUGAGUGAAUGUGCAAGUGAAAUCUUGAUUUAACCAUAUGACAAGCUCCUAAGGGUCUACACAGCUUGACCACACUCAAUGCUCAUAAGCAGUAAAUAGUAAAUGUGUGGCUCAAAGUCUAGCAAGCAUGUAUAUAUGGCUGUGGUAGGAAUUUAAACUUUCAUCAUACAGGAACUCAUCAUGCAAUAUUUUAAAGAUUUUUCAAAGAUAAAAUUCUCCAGAAUUCUAGCAUCUCUAGGAAUAGAUAAACAGCAGCUCAACCUUCCCAUAUCAUAUCCGUUAACAACUUAGAUUUCAGAUCAAGUUUUCAUCCCACAAAUUUAGAUCUAGAGCAAGCUUUAAAUUAUAACAGUUAUGUCUAAACUUGAGAGAGAACUUCAAAUUUGCAAAUUAGGCAGAGCAACUAUUCAUCAUAUCCAUGCUAGAGUUUUAUUAUUAAGAUUCAGAUUAGCAUAGCCACUUUAUUUAUUUAUUAAACACACUAAGCAA
rnacentral:lncRNA from 1 species